rnacentral:rRNA from 1 species
UACAGAGGUCCCGAGCGUUGUUCGGAUUCACUGGGCGUAAAGGGUGCGCAGGUGGGUUGGCAAGUUUGAUGUGAAAGCCCCGGGCUUAACCCGGGAAAGGCAUUGAAUACUGCUGAUCUGGAGGAUCGGAGGGGGGACUGGAAUUCUUGGUGUAGCAGUGAAAUGCGUAGAUAUCAAGAGGAACACCAGUGGCGAAGGCGAGUCCCUGGACGAUACCUGACACUAAGGCACGAAAGCCAAGGGAGCAAACAGG